CUUCUUAGAGAGGACUGAAAUCAGAUCAGCCCCUGGCUGUCUCCUCAUUCAUUCAGCCCCUAGUUCACCAGUUCAGGAACUGGUCUUCACAAUGAAACAAGACCACGCAGCAUUAAAGAGAACCUGUGCUCUCUAGAGUCAUCGUGAUGGUGGCGGCAGCAGUCUGGAAGUGAGAGACCCUGAGGGAGACAGUGACACUCGGGGCUGAAGACAGGGCCACGUGGCAGUUCUCAUCACUGUACUUCCCAUUCCUCCAAAAUCUUCCAAAAUUGAGACCUGGGGCCUGGGUUUUGUUAUUAAAGAUGGUGUUAGUCUGCCUUA